rnacentral:misc_RNA from 1 species
AACGCACCUUGCGCUCCUUGGUAUUCCGAGGAGCAUGCCUGUUUGAGUGUCAUUAAAUUCUCAACCUCCACCGGCUUUGCUGCUUGGUGUUGGCUUGGAUGUGGGGGAUUUCUGCAGGCUCUUCACAGAGUCAGCUCCCCUGAAAUGCAUUAGCGGUGACCUUGAUGGCCAUUGGUGUGAUAACUAUCUACGCCAUUGGAUGUCGCGCUGUUCGCUGCUGCUAACGGUCCAUUAGCUUGGACAAUUUAUGACAAUUUUGACCUCAAAUCAGGUAGGACUACCCGCUGAACUUAA